rnacentral:rRNA from 1 species
CCUGCCCACUGAAAUUUUAAAUGGCCGCAGUAUUUUAACUGUGCAAAGGUAGCAUAAUCAUUAGUCUUUUAAUUGGAGGCUGGAAUGAAUGGUUGAAUGAAAUAUUAACUGUUUCAUAUAAAUUAAAAAUAGAAUUUUAUUUUUUAGUUAAAAAGCUAAAAUUUUUUUAAAAGACGAGAAGACCCUAUAAAUCUUAAUAUUAAUUUUUAUGUUAAUUUUAUAGAUAAUUUAAAUUUUUAUAAAGAUUAAUAUUUUAUUGGGGUGAUAUUAAAAUUAAAAUAACUUUUAAUAAAAAAUUAACAAAAAUUAUUGAAUUAUUGAUCCAUAAUUAAUGAUUAAAAAAUUAAGUUACUUUAGGGAUAACAGCGUAAUUUUUUUANAGAGUUCUUAUUAANAAAAAAGUUUGCGACCUCCAUGUUGGAUUAAGAUAAAAUUUA